AAUAAACUGAAGAUUGUUCAUUACCAUCUUUUACUACAAUGAUUCAUACAUUGCCACCUGUUAGCGUCUAUUGACAUUUAACAACUAACCACAUGCUAUUGCCCGCUCGGUUUUUUCCAUUUAGGAGACUGUCGUUGAUUAACAGGAUCCUUGUAUUUGAAAAAGAAAAAGUUCAAGAUGAUUAAAGGGUAGGUAGGGGGCAUGAUUCCAGUUUUUAAAGGCAAUCAAGUUUGGGUUGCCAUCCUUAUCAACCCCGCUAUAACUUGAGGAGGGCAGAUAUAAACUGGUCAAGAAGCUUGAGAAUGUAGAUGAAUAAAUUCAAUGCUAUACUCAGAUGGUUACUGCAAACAACCACAAGAUUGAAUGUUAAAAUUGGAGCUGUCACCAGACAUCUCUGAGGUAUCGUCCGUCCAUCUGGAGUUUCUUAACCAUAGACUCUGUCUUUGAUGAGUCCAAAUUU
rnacentral:misc_RNA from 1 species